UUGAAAGGGAAACGAUUGAAGUCAGUCGUACCAGCGGGAAUCAACCUUUCGAGUGGGGGUUUUGGAGUUUUGAAGAGUGUCAAAACCUUUGAGAUUUCAAAAAUUUCGCUCUUUUGGUGUACUUUCUCGUGGGUAGGUUAACAUCGAUUUUGAUCAUCAUAAAAGGAUUGGAGGAAUGUAGCUUCGAUCUUGUAUUGAAGUGUUAUAGCCUUUGGUAAAUGUGAUGAUUGGGAUCGAGGAUUGCAACGAAUACCCUUUUGGGCUAUCCGCCUGAUCUCUGAUACGUGGCCUUGGCAUCGAAAGCUUGCUUAUGGUAUCAAGGUAUUACGGUCAAAAGGUUAGAACGGAUUGCAUUCGUUAAGGAUGUUGACGUA
rnacentral:rRNA from 1 species